UCGAUCAACAAGUUACACCCCUCCACUUAGUCGACUCAACAACCACCUUCAUUUUGAAUCCAACAGCUGUCAUAAACAAACGAGUCAUCGAGCGCUCCGGCCAGUUCAUUGAUCAGUUUCUAGUUCGUUGGGAAGGUCUUUUCAGCGAGGAUGCCACCUGGGAAGAUAAGGACCACCUUUUGAAAACUAUUCCUGACUGGAACCUUGAGGACAAGGUUCCACUUGAGCAAGGGGUAAUGUUGUGAAUGAACCCGUGUCCGUUGAACCAGGGAACCAGACCGAGCCUCCAUUAAAAACUGCUAGGGCUACGCGUCAAAGAAAGCUUCCUCCAAAAUUUCAGAAUUUGUCAUGUAUCCCACGACAGCAAGGGCAUAACGGCUGGAAGGGUACUAUAAGAAAAGCAAAAGGCUUAUGGCUACAGCAUGCGUAUUGUCAAUUGAAAUUUGUUUCUUUUUUCUCACCUUUAUUCUCUGAGUGUACUGUUGGUUAUAUUCACUGGAAGGAAUUACUGUUGGUUAUAUUCACUGGAAGGAAUUUCAUCACCAACUUUCAUCAAUUUAUGCUUAUCCAAUUUUAGAAAAUGUUAGAUUCGGUUGCAGGAAUAUCUGUACACAACAUAGGGGAUAUGAAACUAAUGGUUGUCUAUCAGUCUAGUCUGAUUGUGGACCAACGGUAUUAAUUUGUAAAUUCCUUACAGAAUUAUAUGAAAUAAACUGAUAACCUUUGGAUCAGAGACUUCCAUUGUAGCAAAAAAAAAAAUCACUCUUGUCGUCUCCCAAUUGAAGAGAUGGAUAUGGCCACGAUUUCAGCUUGCAACCCUGCAGUUCUUUCACACAGAUCAUCAUCACUAAGGAUGGCAUCUCCAUUUUCAUGGGGUUGUCCGCAAUGGCAUAGAAGGGGAAAGUGAUGUGUUCCAUGCAGAAGAAGGCUUGUACAUAGUAGAAAGGGUGAACAAGUAUGGGGAUGAGUGCUUCAUUGUUGGCAGCAGUGUGUGCAAGUACCAUGUCAAGCCCAGUCAUGGGUCUGGUGGACGAUCGAAUGUCCACAAAAUAAACUGGACUUCCCUUUGGUAUGAGUAGCAACCUGCUUAGGUGGAUCCUGUUGGGUGUAUUCAGUCUGAUUUGGACACUUUACAUUGUUUACACUUCCUUCCUUGAUGAAGAUGAAGGAUCUAAAUUGUCCCUCUAAGCCAAACCUUACUUCCUUUUGGUGUUGUUUUGCAAAUAUCAUGUUCCAAUGAAUGCAGUAAAACUACCUUCUUCA